rnacentral:rRNA from 1 species
UGGGGAAUUUUGGACAAUGGGCGAAAGCCUGAUCCAGCAAUGCCGCGUGUGUGAAGAAGGCCUUCGGGUUGUAAAGCACUUUUGUCCGGAAAGAAAUCCUUGGCUCUAAUACAGUCGGGGGAUGACGGUACCGGAAGAAUAAGCACCGGCUAACUACGUGCCAGCAGCCGCGGUAAUACGUAGGGUGCAAGCGUUAAUCGGAAUUACUGGGCGUAAAGCGUGCGCAGGCGGUUUGCUAAGACCGAUGUGAAAUCCCCGGGCUCAACCUGGGAACUGCAUUGGUGACUGGCAGGCUAGAGUAUGGCAGAGGGGGGUAGAAUUCCACGUGUAGCAGUGAAAUGCGUAGAGAUGUGGAGGAAUACCGAUGGCGAGGGCAGCCCCCUGGGCCAAUACUGACGCUCAUGCACGAAAGCGUGGGGAGCAAACAGGAUUAGAUACCCUGGUAGUCCACGCCCUAAACGAUGUCAACUAGUUGUUGGGGAUUCAUUUCCUUAGUAACGUAGCUAACGCGUGAAGUUGACCGCCUGGGGGAGUACGGUCGCAAGAUUAAAACUUAAAUGAAUUGACGGGGUCAUAGCUGUUUCCU